rnacentral:rRNA from 1 species
AUUGAACGCUGGCGGCAGGCCUAACACAUGCAAGUCGAACGAGUGGCGGACGGGUGAGUAAUUUCUGGGAAACUGCCUGAUGGAGGGGGAUAACUACUGGAACCGGUAGCUACUACCGCAUACCAUCAGCUGUGCCCAGAUUGGAUUAGCUUGUUGGUGGGGUAACGGCUAACCAAGGCGACGAUCCCUAGCUGGUCUGGGAGGAUGACCAGCCACACUGGAACUGAGACACGGGCCAGACUCCUACGGGAGGCAGCAGUGGGGAAUAUUGGACAAUGGGCGAAAGCCUGACGCAGCAAUGCCGCGUGUAUGAAGAAGGCCUUCGGGUUGUAAAGUACUGUCAGCGGGGAGGCGGUACCCGCAGAAGAAGCACCGGCUAACUCCGUGCCAGCAGCCGCGGUAAUAC